rnacentral:rRNA from 1 species
GACGUAGGGCGUGAGCGUUGUCCGGAUUUAUUGGGCGUAAAGAGCUCGUAGGCGGCUCGUUGCGUCAACCGUGAAAACCCGGGGCUUAACUUCGGGCUUGCGGUUGAUACGGGCGGGCUGGAGUUCGGUAGGGGAGACUGGAAUUCCUGGUGUAGCGGUGAAAUGCGCAGAUAUCAGGAGGAACACCGGUGGCGAAGGCGGGUCUCUGGGCCGAUACUGACGCUGAGGAGCGAAAGCGUGGGGAGCGAACAGG